GACGAACCGUGCAAACGUUAUUCGGAAUCACUGGGCUUAAAGCGCGUGUAGGCGGGCCGGCACGUCGGUCGCUGAAAUCCCCCGGCUCAACCGGGGAAGCGGCGCCGAUACGACCGGCCUGGAGGGGCGUAGGGGGACCUGGAACUUCCGGUGGAGCGGUGAAAUGCGUUGAGAUCGGAAGGAACACCAGUGGCGAAAGCGGCUUCCUGGUCCGACACCGACGUUCAGGCACGAAAGCGUGGGGAGCAAACAGG
rnacentral:rRNA from 1 species